AGAGUUUGAUUCUGGCUCAGAUUGAACGCUGGCGGCGUGCUUAACACAUGCAAGUCGAACGUGAAAGUCCUUCGGGACGAGUAAAGUGGCGCACGGGUGAGUAACGCGUGGAUAAUCUACCCUUAAGAUGGGGAUAACGGCUGGAAACGGUCGCUAAUACCGAAUACGCUCCCGAUUUUAUCGUUGGGGGGAAAGAUGGCCUCUGCUUGCAAGCUAUCGCUUAAGGAUGAGUCCGCGUCCCAUUAGCUAGUUGGCGGGGUAACGGCCCACCAAGGCGACGAUGGUUAGCCGGUCUGAGAGGAUGACCGGCCACACUGGAACUGGAACACGGUCCAGACUCCUACGGGAGGCAGCAGUGGGGAAUAUUGCGCAAUGGGCGAAAGCCUGACGCAGCGACGCCGCGUGAGGGAUGAAGGUUCUCGGAUCGUAAACCUCUGUCAGGGGGGAAGAAACCCCCUCGUGUGAAUAAUGCGAGGGCUUGACGGUACCCCCAAAGGAAGCACCGGCUAACUCCGUGCCAGCAGCCGCGGUAAUACGGAGGGUGCAAGCGUUAAUCGGAAUCACUGGGCGUAAAGCGCACGUAGGCGGCUUGGUAAGUCAGGGGUGAAAUCCCACAGCCCAACUGUGGAACUGCCUUUGAUACUGCCAGGCUUGAGUACCGGAGAGGGUGGCGGAAUUCCAGGUGUAGGAGUGAAAUCCGUAGAUAUCUGGAGGAACACCGGUGGCGAAGGCGGCCACCUGGACGGUAACUGACGCUGAGGUGCGAAAGCGUGGGUAGCAAACAGGAUUAGAUACCCUGGUAGUCCACGCU
rnacentral:rRNA from 1 species